UGCGUAGGUGGCUUAUCAAGCCAGGGGUGAAAGGCAUUGGCUCAACCAAUGUAAGCCUUUGGAACUGAUAGGCUUGAGUGCAGGAGAGGUAAGUGGAAUUCCUAGUGUAGAGGUGAAAUUCGUAGAUAUUAGGAGGAACACCAGUGGCGAAGGCGACUUACUGAACUGUAACUGACACUGAGGCACGAAAGCGUGGGUAGCGAACA
rnacentral:rRNA from 1 species